rnacentral:rRNA from 1 species
GAUUGAACGCUGGCGGCAGGCCUAACACAUGCAAGUCGAACGGUAACAGGAAACAGCUUGCUGUUUCGCUGACGAGUGGCGGACGGGUGAGUAAUGUCUGGGAAACUGCCUGAUGGAGGGGGAUAACUACUGGAAACGGUAGCUAAUACCGCAUAACGUCGCAAGACCAAAGAGGGGGACCUUCGGGCCUCUUGCCAUCGGAUGUGCCCAGAUGGGAUUAGCUAGUAGGUGGGGUAACGGCUCACCUAGGCGACGAUCCCUAGCUGGUCUGAGAGGAUGACCAGCCACACUGGAACUGAGACACGGUCCAGACUCCUACGGGAGGCAGCAGUGGGGAAUAUUGCACAAUGGGCGCAAGCCUGAUGCAGCCAUGCCGCGUGUAUGAAGAAGGCCUUCGGGUUGUAAAGUACUUUCAGCGGGGAGGAAGGGAGUAAAGUUAAUACCUUUGCUCAUUGACGUUACCCGCAGAAGAAGCACCGGCUAACUCCGUGCCAGCAGCCGCGGUAAUAUGGAGGGUGCAAGCGUUAAUCGGAAUUACUGGGCGUAAAGCGCACGCAGGCGGUUUGUUAAGUCAGAUGUGAAAUCCCCGGGCUCAACCUGGGAACUGCAUCUGAUACUGGCAAGCUUGAGUCUCGUAGAGGGGGGUAGAAUUCCAGGUGUAGCGGUGAAAUGCGUAGAGAUCUGGAGGAAUACCGGUGGCGAAGGCGGCCCCCUGGACGAAGACUGACGCUCAGGUGCGAAAGCGUGGGGAGCANNCAGGAUUAGAUACCCUGGUAGUCCACGCCGUAAACGAUGUCGACUUGGAGGUUGUGCCCUUGAGGCGUGGCUUCCGGAGCUAACGCGUUAAGUCGACCGCCUGGGGAGUACGGCCGCAAGGUUAAAACUCAAAUGAAUUGACGGGGGCCCGCACAAGCGGUGGAGCAUGUGGUUUAAUUCGAUGCAACGCGAAGAACCUUACCUGGUCUUGACAUCCACAGAACUUUCCAGAGAUGGAUUGGUGCCUUCGGGAACUGUGAGACAGGUGCUGCAUGGCUGUCGUCAGCUCGUGUUGUGAAAUGUUGGGUUAAGUCCCGCAACGAGCGCAACCCUUAUCCUUUGUUGCCAGCGGUCCGGCCGGGAACUCAAAGGAGACUGCCAGUGAUAAACUGGAGGAAGGUGGGGAUGACGUCAAGUCAUCAUGGCCCUUACGACCAGGGCUACACACGUGCUACAAUGGCGCAUACAAAGAGAAGCGACCUCGCGAGAGCAAGCGGACCUCAUAAAGUGCGUCGUAGUCCGGAUUGGAGUCUGCAACUCGACUCCAUGAAGUCGGAAUCGCUAGUAAUNNNNNAUCAGAAUGCCACGGUGAAUACGUUCCCGGGCC